rnacentral:lncRNA from 1 species
CAAUAAUUAUAAUCAUUUUACUAAAAAACAAUAUCAAUUCCUUAGGGCACCCGCAGACGGGCGAGUUUUGUAGCGCGACAGUUGUGACGCUGAAAAUGGAACUCAUUAUUUUAAAUACAGUCCCGCACACGAGCGACUUUCUGUAGCCGCUACUAGCGUCUGCCAUAGAUAAUAUAGACACAUCAUGAUACAAUGAAUACAAGACUAGCACAGUUGCCAGUUGUGCAAUAAAGUAUAGCGUUAGCUGAAAAUGUAUCCUUGCAGAAAUAGUACAUUACGAUUCCCGAGACGGAAGUCCAAACAAUGACCCAAUGUUACUUUCCUAUUAUUUACGACGGAAUAUGCGGUUUGUGGUGCNGCGGAUGAUAUGUAAAUUUUAAUACAAAUGAAAUGACUGCA